rnacentral:rRNA from 1 species
AGCGAACGCUAGCGGCAGGCCUAACACAUGCAAGUCGAACGGACCCUUCGGGGUUAGUGGCGGACGGGUGAGUAACACGUGGGAACGUGCCCUCUGGUUCGGAACAACUCAGGGAAACUUGAGCUAAUACCGAAUGUGCCCUUCGGGGGAAAGAUUUAUCGCCAUUGGAGCGGCCCGCGUCUGAUUAGCUAGUUGGUGGGGUAAUGGCCUACCAAGGCGACGAUCAGUAGCUGGUCUGAGAGGAUGAUCAGCCACAUUGGGACUGAGACACGGCCCAAACUCCUACGGGAGGCAGCAGUGGGGAAUCUUGCGCAAUGGGCGAAAGCCUGACGCAGCCAUGCCGCGUGAAUGAUGAAGGUCUUAGGAUUGUAAAAUUCUUUCACCGGGGACGAUAAUGACGGUACCCGGAGAAGAAGCCCCGGCUAACUUCGUGCCAGCCGCCGCAGUAAAAC